GUGUCUGUGGUGGGAAAGGGAGAGAGGCAUCCUGUAAAAGUCUGAUGCAUUCCAUCAGGUGCAGGUCAGUGUCCUAGAACCAGGUUACUGCCGUGGACAUGGCUGUAAUGACCCAGGUCUUUGUCGGGGAGGUGGUAGGAGAAGCCCUGGACGUGUGUGAGAUGUGGGAAGAAGCCCCAGUUACACCCCGGACAUUGGAAAAAGGCCUUUCACAGGGGACAACCCAGGUACUGUUUCCCCAACAUCCAGUACAAAAAAAAAUCAUCA
rnacentral:lncRNA from 1 species